CCUCUCUUUUCUUCUUCACGCACACUCCCCUUUUCUUCUUUAAAAUUCCUCCCCUCACGAACGAUGAACGACGCACAACAAAAAACCCCAACCUUAAUCCCAUUCUUCUCAUCUCCAUGUCCUUUCUUCUCGGGGAGGAGACCCAUAGCAACGGAGACCCACAACGAGGAGACCCAUAUUGUUGCCGGAAAUUAAGGCCAAGGGAGAUUUCAUGGCUAUGGGAGGAAGCUUCGAGAAAAAGAGAAUGAAAAUUAAUGGUUAGAUUUUAUCCUUUCAAACCUCUGUAGUAUCGAUGACAUGAAUAUUAAGAGCGCCAUUUCUCUUCAUACCAUAAAGGAACUUCCUUUUCAUUGCCAACUUCAAUUCCAUAUGGGUCUGGAAGAAAUUUUGAUGUUUGUGUUGAAUCUGCCCCAAUAUGUGCCAUAGAAUUGUGGAAGGGCAUGUUUUUGGCACACUCCAUUGUUGCUUGCAAUUAUGAAAUUUGGUCCUUGGACUUGAGUGAAAGAGACAUUGGUGUUUUGAUCUCUUGCAUCUUUUUGUUGAUAAUACCUGUUGAAGAUUAAUAUGUUUAAUUUAUAGCUAAACACUAGUGUUUAUCUAAUAUUGGAUUAGCAAUAAUAAGAUUGUAAUUUUGAUGUCC